CCUACGGGAGGCAGCAGUGGGGAAUAUUGCACAAUGGGGGAAACCCUGAUGCAGCGACGCCGCGUGAGUGAAGAAGUAAUUCGUUAUGUAAAGCUCUAUCAGCAGGGAAGAAAAUGACGGUACCUGAGUAAUAAGCCCCGGCGAACUACGUGCCAGCAGCCGCGGUAAUACGGAGGGGGCAAGCGUUAUCCGGAUGUACUGGGUGUAAAGGGAGCGUAGACGGCAGGGGAAGUCUGGAGUGAAAGGCGGAGGCAUAACCCCCGGACUGCUCUUGAAACUGUACGGCUGGAGUGCAGGUGAGGUAAGUGGAAUUCCUGGUGUAGCGGUGAAAUGCGUAGAUAUUAGGAGGAACCCCGAUGGCGAAGGCGGCUUACUAGACUGUAACUGACGUUGAGGCUCGAAAGCGUGGGGAGCAAACAGGAUUAGAUACCCUAGUAGUC
rnacentral:rRNA from 1 species